CGUCCGGGCGUAGAAACCUGGCGCGCUGCCCGGUGGCCCUUCUCUCCGCUGAGGAGGUCAGGGAUGAGGUGAUGGGUGGCGCCAGCAUCGGUUCCGAGACCGAAACAUAGUUGGUCUUUCUGUUUGGAGCGAACAGAGGCUCAUCAGAGAAGCGGGUGAUUCUCUGGCGGGUGGAAUAUGAUGAGUGCAUGAGCGAGGUUUCCGACCCGCAUCGGUCUCUCUUCCUCCGGGUCAUGCGGAACAGCUUGUAUCCUACGAACAGGCAGUUGAGCAGCAGGAGCAGAAGGACGCAGGGAAUGAGCACCAGGAUCAGCAGGGCUAAACUGGACACCGGGAGGCCCUCGGAUCCAGUCUUCUGGGGAGGUUUUCCACAAUGGAUGAAGAGACUUGCUCUCACACAAGCAUCAAGAACAACAUGUUCCUUGAUCAACAUCUUUGUUGAUCCUGGAACAACAUUCAAGAUUCGAGCUCCACUCCUUGGUGAUUGUUUAGGCCAUUAAACACAGCUGGUAAAUCUCUCAGCGUCUCCACCAGCCUGCAGUCCAGGUGUAGCUCUACCCCAGGCACCGGUAACACCCCCUGGCCGUGCGGGAAUCCCCCUGGUUGGCCCACCUCCAGUCCCUUCAGAUGGAACAGCAGCCGAUGCUUCUCACCAUCAGCCAGUUUCAGGUUGUUAAAGGAUCUGCUUGUGCAAUGACGCACCUGUCCGUCAGUGAUGGAGAUGACAUUGGUGGGAAUGUAAGCGGACACGUCUCCGGCCUGGGUCUCGAUAACGGGCAGGGCGGUGAGGGAUCCACCA